UACGUAGGGUGCAAGCGUUAAUCGGAAUUACUGGGCGUAAAAGCGCGCGUAGGCGGCUUUGCAAGUCGGGUGUGAAAUCCCCAGGCUUAACCUGGGAACUGCAUUCGAGACUGCAUUGCUAGAGUAUGGGAGAGGGAAGUGGAAUUUCCGGUGUAGCGGUGAAAUGCGUAGAUAUCGGAAGGAACAUCAGUGGCGAAAGCGACUUCCUGGACCAAUACUGACGCUCAUGUGCGAAAGCGUGGGGAGCAAACAGG
rnacentral:rRNA from 1 species